UACAGAGGUCUCAAGCGUUGUCCGGAUUUAUUGGGCGUAAAGAGCGUGUAGGCGGCCAGACAGGUCAGCUGUGAAAACUCGAGGCUCAACCUCGAGACGUCGGUUGAAACCGUCUGGCUAGAGUCCGGAAGAGGAGAGUGGAAUUCCCGGUGUAGCGGUGAAAUGCGCAGAUAUCGGGAAGAACACCCGUGGCGAAGGCGGCUCUCUGGGACGGUACUGGACGCUGAGACGCGAAAGCGUGGGGAGCGAACAGG
rnacentral:rRNA from 1 species